rnacentral:rRNA from 1 species
AACGGGUGAGUAACACGUGGGUGAUCUGCCUCGCACUCUGUGGAUAAGCCUGGGAAACUGGGUCUAAUACCAGGAUAUGACCUUACAUCGCAUGGUGUUUGGUGGAAAGAUUUAUCGGUGCGAGAUGGGCCCGCGGCCUAUCAGCUUGUUGGUGGGGUAAUGGCCUACCAAGGCGACGACGGGUAGCCGGCCUGAGAGGGCGACCGGCCACACUGGGACUGAGACACGGCCCAGACUCCUACGGGAGGCAGCAGUGGGGAAUAUUGCACAAUGGGCGAAAGCCUGAUGCAGCGACGCCGCGUGAGGGAUGACGGCCUUCGGGUUGUAAACCUCUUUCGACAGGGACGAAGCGCAAGUGACGGUACCUGUAGAAGAAGCACCGGCCAACUACGUGCCAGCAGCCGCGGUAAUACGUAGGGUGCGAGCGUUGUCCGGAAUUACUGGGCGUAAAGAGCUUGUAGGCGGCUUGUCGCGUCGAUCGUGAAAACUUGGGGCUCAACCCCAAGCUUGCGGUCGAUACGGGCAGGCUUGAGUACUUCAGGGGAGACUGGAAUUCCUGGUGUAGCGGUGAAAUGCGCAGAUAUCAGGAGGAACACCGGUGGCGAAGGCGGGUCUCUGGGAAGUAACUGACGCUGAGAAGCGAAAGCGUGGGUAGCGAACAGGAUUAGAUACCCUGGUAGUCCACGCCGUAAACGGUGGGUACUAGGUGUGGGUUUCCUUCCACGGGAUCCGUGCCGUAGCUAACGCAUUAAGUACCCCGCCUGGGGAGUACGGCCGCAAGGCUAAAACUCAAAGGAAUUGACGGGGGCCCGCACAAGCGGCGGAGCAUGUGGAUUAAUUCGAUGCAACGCGAAGAACCUUACCUGGGUUUGACAUACACCGGAAACCUGCAGAGAUGUAGGCCCCCUUGUGGUCGGUGUACAGGUGGUGCAUGGCUGUCGUCAGCUCGUGUCGUGAGAUGUUGGGUUAAGUCCCGCAACGAGCGCAACCCUUAUCUUAUGUUGCCAGCGCGUAAUGGCGGGGGAACUCGUGAGAGACUGCCGGGGGUCACCUCGGAUAAAGGUGGGGACGACGUCAAGUCAUCAUGCCCCUUAUGUCCAGGGCUUCACACAUGCUACAAUGGCCGGUACAGAGGGCUGCGAUACCGUGAGGUGGAGCGAAUCCCUUAAAGCCGGUCUCAGUUCGGAUCGGGGUCUGCAACUCGACCCCGUGAAGUUGGAGUCGCUAGUAAUCGCAGAUCAGCAACGCUGCGGUGAAUACGUUCCCGGGCCUUGUACACACCGCCCGUCACGUCAUGAAAGUACGGUAACACCCGAAGCCGGUGGCCUAACCCCUUGUGGGAGGGCACGCCGUCGAAGGUGGG